rnacentral:rRNA from 1 species
UACGAAGGGGGCUAGCGUUGUUCGGAAUCACUGGGCGUAAAGGGCGCGUAGGCGGCCGAUCAAGUCGGGGGUGAAAGCCUGUGGCUCAACCACAGAAUUGCCUUCGAUACUGUUUGGCUUGAGACCGGAAGAGGUUAGUGGAACUGCGAGUGUAGAGGUGAAAUUCGUAGAUAUUAGGAAGAACACCAGUGGCGAAGGCGGCUCACUGGCCCGGUACUGACGCUGAGGCGCGAAAGCGUGGGGAGCAAACAGG